GAAGCUAGUCAAAUUGGAAAACUGAAGCCAAACACCUAGUGUUAAAAAAUUUUAUAUUUACUAAGUGUAGUACUACAAAAAUCGUUUAACAAGGCCUCAAGAAACUCAACCAAUAUACAUAUAUUUUUUAAAUUCAUCGAAAUAUUCGCAUUUCAUGGAGUUGAUAAAAACUUUGCUACCGUAGAACUAAGUAAGUGUAAUGUAAACAAUAAGCAA